CUCAACAUUCUCCAGUGUCCAACUGCCAAGGGCUCACUGCUAAAAUGGGAGAGAAGACUCCACUCCACAGGGCUCUGACACCCUAUGCUGCAGGACAAGGUGACUUUCAGCUCAACCCCAACCUGCCUAGAGCCAAGGUGGACUGAGAAGGAAGAGCAUCUCCCUAGGCUGAGGAUGACCUCUCAAGGAGCAGCCAGAACAUGUCGUCGGUGUCGUUAGUGAAGUGAGAACUUUACCUGUUAAAUUCUGACUCAUGGACCUUUCCUGCCAUCACAAGAACCCCUCCAUCAGAGUGCUUGAACUGCUUCAUGGGUGGCUGAGCUUUUGGCCAGCCAACAGUGCCUGCAUCUUCUCUAGUCUUUAUUCAGUCCCAGCACCAGGCACAUGGAAGGUGUGCUGAGAACGAAGGAAAGGGCUUCUGCAAACCGGCCUUCUCCCUACACCAACAUGGCUUCUUUCUUUUUAUCUCGCAUCAUUUCCCCGUCAAGCUAGACCACCCAGAGGACGUAUCUGGACUUUAGAACCCAACCGGGUUCUGGAAAUGUAAGCCCUGGUUAUUUCCGCAUUGGUCUUGGACAUGUCACAGACUGAGUGAUUCGCAGAAGGCUGUGGGUCACUGUUCUUCCAGGAGCUUCUACCUGUUCCCCAAUCCCUGGGAUUCAUUGCUAGGGAUGGACACUUUGGGAGACAGACGCCCUGCAGGGCAAUGAUAGGGUUGGGGGACACAGCUCAGGGUGAAGAAGAUGAGACCAAGGUAGAGACAUGACUGAGAGUGAAAUCGAAGACUUAAGGGACUGUGAUGCCUGCUGACGGUCCUAAGGAUCGACCUGGGAUAAGGGGCUGAGAGAGGCCCUGCCCAGACCCAGUUGUCCUUUUCCCUCAUGUUCUAAUCACAUCUGUCCACCCUGAGUAACUAGCUUGUGUGAGGCCACCAUUCAUUCCUGGAUAGUUCUUCUCCCAAUGCCCUGAUAGUUACAAGAAAUUAUUGAUGAUGUCACCAAUACAAAGCGAGGUUUUCUGUGAAUAAAUCCAUAAACAAUGAGAUGGCUGGUGGGAAGGAUUUGUUCCAGUGACAUUUAUUUAGCAAGGAAAUAGCUUAUUAUUUCCAUAGUAUCCUGUCCUCACUAUUGUAGAGAGAUUUUUAAAAUGUGCAGGUAAUGCUUGGUUUUUAUCAACUUGACACAAACCUAGACAUGGCUGAGAAGAGGGAGCCAUGGCUGAGAAGAUUAAGAAAAAACCCCAUAGGCUUACCUACAAAAGCCUGUGGGCCUUUUUUUAAAUUAGUGAUUGAUGGGGAAGAUGCCACCCAUGGGCAGAGGGCCCUAGGGUGUGUAACAAGGCAGGCUGGGAGAGUCAUGGGCAAGCAGGCCAGUAGGUAGCACUUCUCUAUGGCCUCUGCUUUAGUUCCUGCCUUCUGGUUCCUGCCCUGCUUGAGUUUUGCCCUGGCUUCCACCAGUGAAGAAGUGUGAUUUGAGUCAUGAGACAAAAUAAACCCUUUCCUCCCCAAGUUGCUUUUGAUUGUGCUGUUUUAUCACAGCAAUAGAAAGCAGAACUAAGGCAUUAGAUGUCUCUGUGUGUAUGUGCUUGUGUGUGUGAAUGACUGUGGAGACCAGGAGUUACAGGAGGUUGCAAGGUGCCUGCUGUGUGCUGAGCCAUCUCUCCAGUCCUUAUUUGUUGAAGAGAUUUUGCUCUCCCAGUUCCUAGGGCUGUCCCAGGAUAUGAUGACAAAUAUUCUGUACUAGGCACUGUGUAACCUUGAAUUAUUUUAACAGAUUUAAUCCUGUAGCAGGUCAGUGAAGAAUCUGGGGAAACUGAGUCACAGAGUGAUCAAGUCAUAUAGCUGAGAGUCAGAGAUAAAAAUGAUUUCAGAUGAGACUGUCCAUGUCAGGAGCCUACUUUUCUUCUUUAAAUUUAAGGCAGGGUCUCAGAUUGGCCUUAUACACAACCUAGGUUGGUCUUACAACGCCCCUGUCUCAACCUCUAGAGGGUUGGGAUAUAGGCUUGUGCCACCAUGCCCCCUAGGAAGUCCCAUGCUUAACAACUGCAGGUUGGACUAGGUUGGAAAUAUUUUGGACUUUGCAGGUUAUUUGUUCCCAUAGAUGACAGUUCAGCCUUGCUACUUGAACAGGAUGGAAACUGUAGAUGUGUAAAUGAGUGAAUGUGGAUGUGUACCAAUAAAGCUUUAAAAAAACA